rnacentral:tRNA from 3 species
GUUCGGUUAGCUCAAUUGGAUAGAGUAUUCGCCUUCUAAGCGAAAGGUUAUGAGUUCAAGCCUCAUACUGAACA